GCCUGCCAGCAUCCAGGUGGGGUUCUGUUUGGAGACAGAGAGCUGGGUCAGUUGACUGUGGUCCUAACAAGUCUUGAGCUUCACUUUGCCCUGGAUGGGAGGCUUUUGGGUCUGGGCCCAAGCCUACACCCCCUGCUGUUUGGGCGCCGGAGUCUUACCAGGUCCUGAUGGUUUUCCCAUUUACAGAGACAGCUAACUUCCUGAGACACCCUGUGGGAUGCAGGGAGAAGUGAGGAUGAGAAGGCAGAAGAAGGGCAGAUGGAGGGGACCCGAAUUGCAUGCAGAGGAGCUCUAAGGGCACAUUUUACACCUUGCAGCCCCUCCCCUGUGCAGGUGACCUGAGUGGCCCUCUCUAUGUCAGCAAGCAGCCCACCUGAAACAACACGGCCUCACCCACCCACCAGCGUUUGGACCGGCCACACGGACGCCCCUCCAAGACCAGCAGCAGGAGAAAACAACCCUGAGACUGCACGGACAGUCCCAGGCACUGGGAGCUUACUAGAAAUGCAGCCUCUGGGGCUCCGCCACUGAAUGAAACUCUGCAUUUUGAUGAAAUUCUUAGGAGAUUGAUCAGUACAUGGAUUUUGAGAUGCGUUGGCACAGAAAGCACUUAGACCUGGAAGCAGACAGGACUGUGACUCGCAGCCCAGCAAGUGCCACGCUUGUGCCAGUUCCCUGACCUCCCAAAUUCCAGAACGACGUGCGUGGUGGACCCAGAUGGAUGCUUGCACACGAAGGAGGCUGCAUGACGAGAGAGGAACCGUGAGCUUGAGGAGCACACCAUUUUAUAGCCAGCAGUGAGCAAGCUGCUCAAUGGCCCCGAGGGAGACAUUACCUCAUCCCUCAGGCUGCAAACACCACCCUGAGAAAUGGGCCAAGGAAAGGGCAGCUGGGGCUCUGCAUUCUCAGUGCACUCUGAGAGACGGGGGAGCACAGCAACCUUCCCACUCGGGCCACACGUCUGCAGACCUUGGAUGAGGCCCCUCAGGUUCUGCCCUGGGGAACUUCUCCUCCCUGGACCCCUGUUCCUCCUUCCCAAGUGCUCCCAAGCUGUGCUGCCUUGGGCCGGUCUCCAUCCCUCAUUUUCACAGCCCCUUUGGCUUCACCCUUUGAGCUGUUCCUAGUGAAGGGUAACGGAAUACGCCAGCACCAAAUAAGCCACUUGGGUAUAUCCAUUAUUUUGAGCUGCAAGCCCUCGAGAAAUAGCAAAUACAGGGGGAGAUUUCUCCGAACUCUUCCCUAUCCGUCUCAAGACAGAGCCUCCAAAAGGAGCUUGGUUGUCACAGAUCUUCCCCCCCCGGGGAGUUUCAAGAACCAGGGAGUAUUGAUGUUGGUCACGAGAGAAGGAACUAGAAGUCCCCACCACACCUAGACACACUUGGUCACAAACCAACAUACCUCCCAUCUGUUCUUCUAUGGACCUGUUCAUCUUUCCUACAAAUCAUUUACUCUCUAAGAGGAAUACCCCUCCCCACCCUUUCCCUACGAGGCUGGUAUUUAAGCCUGAAUUCUAAUCCACCCUGAGGAGGCACUUAUUUUUCUCUGCGUACCUCCCAUGUAUAUAUGACACAUACGUGUUAAAAACCUUUUUGUGUUUCUUUUGGCAAUCUGUCUUUAUGACAACAGCCUCAGCCUAGAACUUAGAAGGGUAGAGGGAAAAUUAUUUUUCCUCCCUGACAGUUUCUGGUGACCCAGACGGGACCUCUGAGACGCCUUACAGAUAAGAGUCUGGGAACACCGGCAAAAGCCAGUGAAGGAUAAGAAUUGUCUUCCCCACACUUGCUUGUAAGUCCUUGUCGCCCUUGGUUUCUCCUCCGGUUGAGCCAGUAACUGCCUACCGUAGCCUGGUUUCUGUUGGGUGGAGGGGUGAGGGGUGCGGGGCGGGCUUCUAGGCAAGAGAGGCCUUGGGGUUGGUGGGGACAGCUUGGCAGUGAUGUACACGGACACACGAGGCAGGUGAGGACUGGAGACUUGGUUUGAAUAAAGCUCUGUGGGAGAGACACAGCAAAGGGAAAUGGGGAUACGAUUAUGCCUUGAAGGCCAGGCUAGUGUGUUCCCACUUUAUACUACAAGCUGAGGGGGGCACUGGGGGUAAGCCCAGCAAACCUUUACUCUGCACAGCAGAUGUGCUAGGCAGUGAGCUAAGUCCUCUGGGCACGUGCACUCAUGUAACCCGGUGGCCCCAGAAGCACCCGUGACACGUACAGUUGAGGACACUGAGGGGAGAGGUGAUGGGACUUGCUCAAGACCACACAGCUUGUACGUGGCAGAGCCAGAACUUGAAUUUAGCCUUUAGGUUUCCUGGUCUAUGCCACGCAUUCUUGGUGUGUGUGUG